rnacentral:rRNA from 1 species
GAUGAACGCUGGCGGCGUGCCUAAUACAUGCAAGUAAAACGCUGAAGCUUGGUGCUUGCACCGAGCGGAUGAGUUGCGAACGGGUGAGUAACGCGUAGGUAACCUGCCUGGUAGCGGGGGAUAACUAUUGGAAACGAUAGCUAAUACCGCAUAACAGUAGAUAUUGCAUGAUAUCUGCUUGAAAGGUGCAAAUGCAUCACUACCAGAUGGACAUGCGUUGUAUUAGCUAGUUGGUGAGGUAACGGCUCACCAAGGCGACGAUACAUAGCCGACCUGAGAGGGUGAUCGGCCCCACUGGGACUGAGACACGGCCCAGACUCCUACGGGAGGCAGCAGUAGGGAAUCUUCGGCAAUGGGGGGAACCCUGACCGAGCAACGCCGCGUGAGUGAAGAAGGUUUUCGGAUCGUAAAGCUCUGUUGUAAGAGAAGAACGAGUGUGAGAGUGGAAAGUUCACACUGUGACGGUAUCUUACCAGAAAGGGACGGCUAACUACGUG